rnacentral:rRNA from 1 species
AGGACGCGAGCGUUAUCCGGAUUUACUGGGCGUAAAGAGCGUUGAGGCGGUUCCGUAAGUUGGACGUGAAAGCUCCCGGCUCAACUGGGAGAGGCCGUUCAAUACUGCGGGACUUGAGGACAGCAGAGGGGGGUGGAAUUCCCGGUGUAGUGGUGAAAUGCGUAGAUAUCGGGAGGAACACCAGUGGCGAAGGCGGCCCCCUGGGCUGAUCCUGACGCUGGAGGCGAAAGCUAGGGGAGCGAACGGGAUUAGAAACCCCGGUAGUCCUAGCCGUAAACGAUGGAUACUAGGUGUGGGAGGCGAAAAAACCUUCCGUGCCGUAGCUAACGCGCUAAGUAUCCCGCCUGGGGACUACGGCCGCAAGGCUAAAACUCAAAGGAAUUGACGGGAGCCCGCACAAGCAGCGGAGCGUGUGGUUUAAUUCGAUGCUACGCGAAGAACCUUACCAGGGCUUGACAUGCAAGUAGUAGUGAAGCGAAAGCGGAACGACCCUUCGGGGAGCUUGCACAGGUGCUGCAUGGCUGUCGUCAGCUCGUGCCGUGAGGUGUUAGGUUAAGUCCUGUAACGAGCGCAACCCCUACUGUCAGUUACAUGUGUCUGGCGGGACUGCCCGGCUCAACCGGGAGGAAGGUGGGGAUGACGUCAAGUCAGCAUGGCCUUUAUGUCCUGGGCUACACACACGCUACAAUGGCCGGUACAAUGGGUAGCCAAGCCGCGAGGCGGAGCCAAUCCUCCAAAGCCGGUCUCAGUUCGAAUUGUAGGCUGCAACUCGCCUACAUGAAGCUGGAGUUGCUAGUAACCGCAGGUCAGCCACACUGCGGUGAAUGCGUUCCCGGGCUUUGCACUCACCGCC